AGUCAUUACCACUCCCUAAUCUCAAGUACCCAGGGACACAAACACUCUGCCUAGGAAAACCAGAGACCUUUGUUCACUUGUUUGUCUGCUGACCUUCCCUCCACUAGUGUCCUAUGACCCUGCCAAAUCCCCCUCGUGAGAAACACCCAAGAAUGAUCAAUAAAACAAAAACAAAACAAAACAAACAAACAAACAAAAACAAAACAAAACAAAACAAACAAACAAACAAAAAAAAAGCGAAAAUUGUGGGCAUUUGCAGUCUUUGCUGCCAUUAAGUCUUCUGGAUUUUUCUACAGGUUGACUCUAAAAGUUGAAAUCCAGUCAAAGAUAUUUACAUUAUUAUGGCCACAUGAACGUUGUUUACCCUCAGGCCAAACAAUGGGCUGGAAUUACACUUGCUUCUCCACACACUCCAUCCCAUAAUCCAUGUGUCACUCAAAGGACAAUGUGGCAAGCAAGCACUAAGGCCCUAAAUUGAUACUGUAUCAAUUAAAUACAAUUAUGUUGUGUUAUUAAAAAAAAAAAAAAAGAAAAUAAAUUAUAAAGCUCUUUGCUGUAGGUGAAGCCUACAGUAGGAAUGUAGGAAAAGCCAUUUGGAAGGCAGGACAAGGGUAUGGCUUCUUUUAAUAGCAUUUUUGCUAUUUUUCACAGUGGAAUUUAGUAAUGAUUAAUAAAUUAAUAUUUGUAAAGCAAUGAAAAACAUUCAGUUUUAAAAUUAUAUACUAUAUUAUACAUAAGUAUCAGUUUAGGGCAUGAUUUUGCCUUUUAUUUUUUCAACAAAGAAGAAAAGUGUCCUUCAGUGUAGAAAAAUAUCUAAUGUAUUUUCUAGUUCUUAGUUUUGAACUCAUAUUCUACUAAAAAUCUAAGAUAUUCUAGAAAAUGAUUUAAAUGUGAGAAUUACAAUAUCUGAUUUAUUAUUCACAGCAUAAUUUUUUAUUAAAUAAACUUUCAAUCCCAUUAUCAUUUUUAAACUACUUAGCUCCAAUCAAAAUGAAAAGGCCCAUUUCUUCAUCUUUAUUGAUGUCUUUCACGUUUCAGUGCCCUGGAAAGAGACUUUCUCUACUUUUAAAUGAAGAAUUCUGGGUUGCUCAUUAUAUCUGAAAGAUGGAUGUAAUGGAAAUGAGUGAUGGAACAGCUCUACAACAGCAACUCUGUGCUUCACUGUGGUUUGCUGCCCUGGAAUAAUAUCUGCUACUUUUGUCUUCACCAAAAUCAUGUGGUUCCCUCACCAGUGUCAUUUACUCGCCCAAACUUUAUCUUAGUGGUGGAGGUGGAUUAGUCCCCUGAACCUUGAGAACAUGUUUUUUUCUUAUGCAUCAUAAUUGGGAAGUUUUUCUUCAAAAUAUCACUAGGCUGAAAAUGAAGUUCUUUAAAAGACUUAUAGAAAGGUAGCGAAAAGAUGUUUUCUUUUUAAUGGAUGUCAAUGGAAAUGCAGUAUAUAUAGUAGGUCCUGAGAAGACUUAACAGAUAUGUGACAUGAAAAUAUGUUUCCUCUCAAAUCCAUGCUUGCCAGAACUUUAUUUUUAAAUAGCAGAAGCCUUGCAAGGAAAUGUGAAAGGCUGGUACUAUUAAAAAGGUCUGAGUUAUUAAAAAAAAUACAUAUGCAUUCCUACAUGAGACAUAUACCUUAAAGAAGGACUGCCUUCUAACGCAGAUUUUGUUUUUGUUUUUUUACUUGGCAUAACAGAGAAGUCAACGCGCUAAUCAAUAAGUGCCAUCUAUUUUUGAUUGACCUUAAUUUUCUGAAUGACUGCUUUUCUUCAAAUAUUUUAAGUCAUGACUAAAUUUCAUUUAAUAAGAAAUGUUUAGGUUAGUUUGUAAACAAGAAAUCAGAUAUUAUGAAUCCAAACCUGGAAUUACAUUUCAAUAAUGCUUAAUUUAUUUCAUAUUUUAGCCAACUGAUUUGUAAUUGUAUUAAGGCUCCCAGGAUAAACUCCAUGGUUAAUUUGGCCCUUUAAAGGUCAACAACAUAUAAGGGCAUAUGUACUUUAAUUCUACUUUAUUCUGAUAUUUCAUAAAACAAUAAUGUAUUAGUCUGUUCUCAUGCUGCUGAUAAAGAUAUACCCAAGACUGAGUAAUUUAUAAAGGAAAGAGAUUAAUUGACUCACAGUUCCACAUGGCUGGGGAGGCCUCACAAUCAUGGAGGAAGGCAACGAGGAGCAAAGUGAUGUCUUACAUGUAGGCAGGCAAGAGAGCUCAUGUGCUGGGGAACUCCGCUUUAUAAAGCCAUCAGAAAUUGUGAGACUUAUUCACUAUUAUGAGAACAGCACUGAAACGACCACACCCAUGAUUCAGUUACCUCCCACUGGGUACCUCCAACGACGUGUGGGAAUUAUGGGAGAUACAAUUCAAGAUUUGGGUGAGGACACAGCCAAAUCAUAUCAAAUGGCAUGAGAUUUAUUGUAAAGAAAUGGUCAGAUGUGAACACUUGGCUAGAACAAGUCUCAGCUGUGAGAGGAGAUGGGAAGGCCAACUAGGACAGGCAAAGAGGUAAUUAAAGAGUACCUGGAACGUCUGUGUACAGUGGAACUAGCAGAGCCAGAUGACUAGCAGUGUAAUGCAGUGGAAAGAGAAUUGGAUGAAUCUUCAGAACACUCAGGCUCCAUCUCAACUCACCUUACUUACUAAUUGAGUGACCUUGGGACAGAAAGGCCUCUGAACCUUGCCCUCCAUUCUUGCAGAACAGGGAUAAUAUUACCGUCUUCAUGGGACUGUUCUACAGAGAAAAUGAAAUAAAUCAUGAAAUACUAUUUGGACCUAGGGAAUAUUUAACAGUUGCAGAUGUCACUGCACAGCUGCCAGUCUUCGAUUUUGAGAAGUCAUGGAGGACAAUUCUCUGCAAGAUAGCAAGUGGAGUAUCAGCUUACACUGAUACCUGGGAAGCUAGCGGAAAAAAUCAUUAAGCAAUUAAUUAGCAACGAUUUAAAAGAACCAAGAAGUUGGAAAGCAACCCAUAUGGCUUUAAGAUCAAAUGGUACCUUUCCAAUUUUGUUGCCCUCUCUAAUUGAGGAACAGCCCAAAAGGUAAGAAAUCAUGCAGGUGGAGUCCUGCAUGAUUGUCAAACCAUCAGUGCAAGCUAAGUUGUUCAAAACUCUAAGUAUCAUCUAUUUAUUUUUGGCAUGAUAUAUGUGAUUAUAUUCAUUAACAGGUAAUAUACUGUAUUGUGUGCCCUGUGUUAGAGACUGGUAAUGGGAUAAGCAAUGAGUUCAGGGAUUUCGUAAAAGGUUGAUCAAUUUGCCAAGAUUUCAUAAGAGUUGAUAUGACUACACCACAGACUCUGAAAUGGUGUUUUUAAAUAACACUAUCAAGAGCAAAGGAAAUCAAGCUAUUCGUAAUUAGUUUUCUAUGACAAAGUUGGAAUGGCUGUGUCAUUGUUUUACAAAAUGUCAAAGUGCAGCAGAAGGAGAAGAAAUCUUUCGUGUCUGGUGAUUAUUCAUAGAUCUGGGUGCCCUGAGAGCAGUAUUUCUCCAAAGGGUUGCCUGCACCAAUAGCUGACUCAUCUGUGGAACUUGUUCAAAAUGCAAGCCCCUAAGCCCCUUGGCAGGCUUAUUGAAUGAAAGCUCUGAAUGUGAAUUUUAUCACAGUGGAGACUCUAAUACUCAUGGAAAUUUGAGAUCUGCAGAGAAAAAUGGCAUUAUUCGAUAUGUAAUAAGCAUUCUUAAUAUGAAUAUGGCACAAAUAAUUGAGAAUAUCAAUACUCAGAUGAGUCUAAAUAUGAGUGGAUUAGUCUAGAAAACUUUAGUCCAGAAAACCGAAAUACAUAUCAGUGAUUUUGAAACAUCUGGAAGUGAGCCAUUCAAAAACAGAAUAAAUUUCAGUGGUGAAAGCAAGAGAUAUGUGGUCUGUGUGUCAUAAUUAGCUAUUCCCUUUGAUGGGGACUUUCCAGGUUACCUCCUCAGAGGAUCUUCACUCCUUCUAGUUUUGUUUUGUUUUGUUUUAUUUUGUUUGCUCCAGGUAAAGAAUGACAUUUUAAAAAUACUGAUUCCCAGGCCCAUCCCAGACUAGUUUAAACAGAAUUUCUGCAGGUAGAGUUUAGACAGUGGGAUUUUUUAAGGAUUGAGAACCACCAUGUAGAUAAGCAGAGGUCAGGUAUGGGAGGUGGCAAGGAGAGAGAGAUAAACAUGCUUUCUUACUCAAGUAUGCUUGGUUACAAAAAUGGAACUGGAAAAUAA
rnacentral:lncRNA from 1 species